GGGCUUGUGGUUUAGUGGUAUAAUUUUCCCUUAGCAUCUCGAUUAACCUUACCAGUGAUCGAACAGCUUCAAAUAAUUUGGGAAAGGUCCUGGGUUCGAUUCCCAGCAAGUCCA